AUUGAACGCUGGCGGCAGGCCUAACACAUGCAAGUCGAACGAGUGGCGGACGGGUGAGUAACGUCUGGGAAACUGCCCGAUGGAGGGGGAUAACUACUGGAAACGGUAGCUAAUACCGCAUACCAUCGGAUGUGCCCAGAUGGGAUUAGCUAGUGGGUGGGGUAACGGCUCACCUAGGCGACGAUCCCUAGCUGGUCUGAGAGGAUGACCAGCCAAACUGGAACGGGGACACGGUCCAGACUCCUCCGGGAGGCAGCAGUGGGGAAUAUUGCACAAGGAGCACAAGCCUGAUGCAGCCAUGCCGCGUGUAUGAAGAAGGCCUUCGGGUGGUAAAGUACGUUCAGCGGGGAGGCGUUACUCGCAGAAGAAGCAACGGCUAACUCCGUGCCAGCAGCCGCGGUAAUUC
rnacentral:rRNA from 1 species